rnacentral:rRNA from 1 species
AUUGAACGCUGGCGGCAUGCCUUACACAUGCAAGUCGAACGGCAGCACGGGGGCAACCCUGGUGGCGAGUGGCGAACGGGUGAGUAAUGAAUCGGAACGUGCCCGGUAGUGGGGGAUAACCAGUCGAAAGACUGGCUAAUACCGCAUACGACCUACGGGUGAAAGCGGGGGACCGUAAGGCCUCGCGCUAUCGGAGCGGCCGAUUUCCGAUUAGCUAGUUGGUGAGGUAAAGGCUCACCAAGGCGAUGAUCGGUAGCUGGUCUGAGAGGACGGCCAGCCACACUGGGACUGAGACACGGCCCAGACUCCUACGGGAGGCAGCAGUGGGGAAUUUUGGACAAUGGGCGAAAGCCUGAUCCAGCCAUGCCGCGUGCGGGAAGAAGGCCUUCGGGUUGUAAACCGCUUUUGGCAGGAACGAAACGGCGCGGGCCAAUACCUCGCGCUAAUGACGGUACCUGCAGAAUAAGCACCAGCUAACUACGUGCCAGCAGCCGCGGUAAUACGUAGGGUGCGAGCGUUAAUCGGAAUUACUGGGCGUAAAGCGUACGCAGGCGGCUUGGUAAGACAGAUGUGAAAUCCCCGGGCUCAACCUGGGAACUGCAUUUGUGACUGCCAAGCUCGAGUCUGUCAGAGGGGGGUGGAAUUCCACGUGUAGCAGUGAAAUGCGUAGAGAUGUGGAGGAACACCGAUGGCGAAGGCAGCCCCCUGGGAUGAGACUGACGCUCAUGUACGAAAGCGUGGGGAGCAAAACAGGAUUAGAUACCCUGGUAGUCCACGCCCUAAACGAUGUCGACUAGUUGUCGGGAAAUUCAUUUUCUCGGUAACGCAGCUAACGCGUGAAGUCGACCGCCUGGGGGAGUACGGUCGCAAGAUUAAAACUCAAAGGAAUGGACGGGGACCCCCACA